AGGUCACCAACAAGACCACCCAUCCCUGCCCUCCCCAGAGAGAACACCUGAGGGUCCCUGGGCCUCACACCCUUCCCAGCUCCAAAAUCCACUCCUUGGGGCGGUCUGGACCCCAAAGGCCCCCUGUCCUUCAUUCCAAGGCAAGGCAGGGGGCUCUGGGGCCUCGCUCCCACCCUGUGGAUACAACACUGCUGGGUACGGAGUCAGAGCCCACAAACGGAAGCAGGCCCUAGCAGCCCACAGGGCUGGAUGUCCUUCUGUCGCUGGGUUUUGCUCACAACUGGAGAACAGCAAGGCUCAGGGUGGUUUAGCACUCAUUCGAGGCCACUUGGUGAUACGCACUGCGCUGGUGUCCAUCUCUGAAGCCAAUGGCCUUCGCUGUGAGGCUGCCUGCCUCCCCUAGUACCCAGGUGUAGAGCAGGCCAGCGGAGGGGCAAACACAGAGGCUGGUCUGCUCCUGGCCCCUCACCGUCCCUCCCCAAACCCCAGUGGGUGAUUCCCAGGGCAGCGUUCAUGCCCCGAAUGGUGAACACAUGGGUACUGGGGAAGAUGGGGCCACAGAUGGGGAAACUGAGGCCGGCGACAUGCCAAAGUCACAGAGCUAGUCAGUUUCAGCUGGCUCCGACCAGAACCACAGUCCCCCAUUCCACACCUUGCCCUGCCCCCGCUGCCCCCAGGCCCGGGUCGCCGGUGGCUGCAGGGGGUGCAAAGUCCAGGGCACCAGGCCUAGCUCCCUUCACCCUGGCUGGCACCCAGCCCCAUCUCCGGUGCCCUCUGACCUGACAUUUUCUGAUGUUGUGCCACUAUCAACUGUCACUCAGAUCCCUAGGUCCCGUAAGCUCACUCCCCAGCCCCCAGGGAGAUGUGCUCUGCAGUGACCCUAAGUGAAGACUGAGCAUCAAAAACCCAGAACUCUGAGAAAAUGCAGAGCUCAGAGCCCAAGGCCUUCAUUAGAGUGGGGAGAGGACGAAGGGGCUCAUUAGCUCUGUUUACGUCUCCAUUCUGGCUGUUAACCAUCACCUUGGGGCCUGCCCAGCCCUGACUUUGGAAGCUCACUGCAAUCACAAGGAAUUUGGUGCCAACACCUGUGCCCUACCCCUCCCGGGCAUGUCUGCACACAGGGACGUGUCCCCACCAGCCCUGCCACCACCCAGCUGGGGAGUCCAUUCACCUUUCAGGGCCUCAGUCUCCCCUUCUGUGUAUGAAGACGGCAGAGAUUGGAGCCAAGGCGAGGCCCCUGGGAAGUGAGUAUCCGUUGUGAGUGACCCACUGUCAAGGGCUCGUGGCCGCAGCCUCGUGGGACCGAGGAGCACCCAACUGGCUUCACUUCUGGGGCCAACAGCAUGGGCACUCUGCUUCAUUUCAUUGAUGCCCCUAGGAGCCUACUGUCCCUGGGGAACCCAGGACCUGUUCCUCAGCCCCUCCGGCCGGUCUGAGGACAGUGCAGAACCCCACCAGACCCAGCCACCCUGCCUGGCAGCAACAGAUGAGCUGCCAGAAACCACAGAGGGUAACCUGAGCUGCCCUGGGAGGAGCCCAGGGCCUUGGAAAUGGCUUAGAAGGGCCCGCUCGGCUUGCAAGUGAAGAAGGAAACACCAGCUCCUGACCUCGGGAGGCCUGGCCCUGCUAGGUUCCCUGGUGCGCUGUCCUGGGCGCCACCGAGUCACUACCCCUUGGCCCCACCUUGUUUCCUUCCCGGUGUGUGUCACCCCUGAAAUGAUGGUGCUCCCGGUGCGUUUACAGUUGGCUGCUGUCUCCUCGCAACUGGAAGCAUUUUUGCAGAUGUCAUCAGGUUAAGAUGAGAACACACUGGACGAGGUGUUUUUAUAAUGACUGGUGUCCCCAUAAACACGGGAAACCUGGACACAGACACACAGAGGAGGCCGUAAUGAGGACAGAAUCAGAGUUGGGAGCAAUGUGCCUGAGUUGAGGAAUGCUACGAGUGGCUGGCACCACCAGAGGUUGGAAGGGGUAGGAAAGAUCCUCUCCUAAGAGCUUGCAGAGAGAGCGCGGAACUGCCAAAACCUGAUGCUGGGCUUCUGGCCUUCAGAACUGAUGGAGAAUAAAUUUCUUUUGCUUUGAGCCACCCAA